rnacentral:rRNA from 1 species
CCUACGGGGGGCAGCAGUGGGGAAUAUUGCACAAUGGGGGAAACCCUGAUGCAGCGACGCCGCGUGAGUGAAGGAGUAUUUCGGUAUGUAAAGCUCUAUCAGCAGGGAAGAAACCCACCCUUUGGGGUGGCUGACGGUACCUGACUAAGAAGCCCCGGCUAACUACGUGCCAGCAGCCGCGGUAAUACGUAGGUGGCAAGCGUUAUCCGGAUUUACUGGGUGUAAAGGGCGUGUAGGCGGGAAAGCAAGUCAGAUGUGAAAACCACGGGCUCAACCUGUGGCCUGCAUUUGAAACUGUUUUUCUU